rnacentral:misc_RNA from 1 species
GAUGAAGAACGUAGCGAACUGCGAUAAGUAAUGUGAAUUGCAGAAUUCAGUGAAUCAUCGAGUCUUUGAACGCACAUUGCGCCCCCUGGCAUUCCGGGGGGCAUGCCUGUCCGAGCGUCAUUGCUGCCCUUCAAGCCCGGCUUGUGUGUUGGGUCGUCGUCCCCCCCGGGGGACGGGCCCGAAAGGCAGCGGCGGCACCGCGUCCGAUCCUCGAGCGUAUGGGGCUUUGUCACCCGCUCGAUUAGGGCCGGCCGGGCGCCAGCCGGCGUCUCCAACCUUCUAUUUUACCAGGUUGACCUCGGAUCAGGUAGGGAUACCCGCUGAACUUAAGCAUAUCAAUAAGCGGAGGA